AACCUCCGCAAUGUGAGAAAUCGCGACGGGGGGAUCCCAAGUGCCAUUCUUAACGGGAUGGCUUUUCAUUAGUGUAAAGAGCUUUUGGAAUAAGAGCUGGGCAAGACCGGUGCCAGCCGCCGCGGUAACACCGGCAGCUCUAGUGGUAACAAUUUUUAUUGGGCCUAAAGCGUCCGUAGCCGGUUUAAUAAGUCUCUGGUGAAAUCCUGUAGCUUAACUGUGGGAAUUGCUGGAGACACUAUUAGACUUGAGACCGGGAGAGGUUAGAGGUACUCCCAGGGUAGAGGUGAAAUUCUGUAAUCCUGGGAGGACCGCCUGUUGCGAAGGCGUCUAACUGGAACGGUUCUGACGGUGAGGGACGAAAGUUAGGGGCGCGAACCGGAUUAGAUACCCGGGUAGUCCUAACUGUAAACGAUGCGGACUUGGUGUUGGGGUGGCUUUGAGCUGCUCCAGUGCCGAAGGGAAGCUGUUAAGUCCGCCGCCUGGGAAGUACGGUCGCAAGACUGAAACUUAAAGGAAUU
rnacentral:rRNA from 1 species